rnacentral:lncRNA from 1 species
AAAAAAAAAUUUAGGGUGAAGAAAUAACAUUUUGAAUUGUACAUAUUUCUAUUCCCAUAACACCUCAGAAUUUGGGCACAAUCUACAAAUAAAUAGAUGGAUAGAGGCAGAUUAUGAUAGAAAGAUGAUAGAUGAUAGAUAGAUAGAUAGACAGACAGACAGAUAGAACAGCCUGAAUAUUAUGUGAAACAUUAUAUAUAAAAAUAACUAUUUCUAGAUAAUCAUAAGGGGUUUUAAACUAUUUGGCAAAAUGUGACCAUUCAAAUAUUUUUUAAGUUAAUAGAAUAAAAGUUUCCAGUAUUUACCAAUUAUAAUAUAAUUAAAUAAUGUCCUGGAUACCUUAGAAAGUCAACCCUUGAAUUAUCCUGACUUCUUAUAGUAUGUUCUAGGUAUCUAGCUUUUUAGUUUAGGAACUCUGUCAUCCUUAUCUACAAUGUCUUCUUUUGUAUUUUUCCCUAGAAUACAGAAUAAAAUGCUUUUCUCCAGUUUUUGUAAUUAUGUCAAUACAAUGUAUCCCACAAACCCAUCAUUUGGGUCUUGCUAUUGAAACUUUUAUUCCAAAUGUCUUUGCCUUCCCUGCAAGAUUAAAACAAAAAUCAAUUUAUUCUAAAAGAGGAUUUGCCUAAGACCAGAAAGUUAUUGCUUUGCUUAGAAAAUGUUUUCUAUUCCUUUUUGGUUUUUUGUCUUAUUUGGAAUUGUGUGACUGAUGUAACCUUGCAGGAUCGCAGCCAAGCUAAUGAAACAUUUUUAUUAUAAUAAUAGCUAACAUUUAUUUAGUGAAUGUGCAUUAUGCCAACUCUUUCCAAAUACUUGACUUUUAGCAUCUCAUUUAAUCCACACAAUAAUUUGAUGAGGAUGGGUAACAAUGAGAUCCAUUUAAUACAUAGAAAAAUGAGGCAUACUGCGGGGUUAGCACCAUGUUCAGGAUCACUUAUGUACUGUGGGUAGAGCCAAAAUAUGAACGCAGGUAGCCUGGUGCCAGGUCUCACUGCAGCUUUUCUAUGAUAUGGAUUGAAGCCAAGUUUUAGGCAGCAUUUAGUAAUUAUCAGCUUUUGCUCUCAAUCUAGCCUUUUAUAUUAGUUUUAUAUAAUUCUCAAGCCCUUAAGAAAAUGAAUAGAAGUCACAUAUUAGUCAUGAAUCAUGUUUGGGAAAAGGGAACCACAACAGAGCUUGAUAGCGAUGCAUUUCAUUUCAGUUCUUUUAUAAAAAUCAGUGUGUGACGCCAUUCUUUCCCGUCCUGCCUUUUUUUUUUUUUUUUUUUUUUUUUUUUUUUUGACGGAGUUUCGCUGUUGUUGCCCAGGCUGGAGUCCAAUGGCGCGAUCUCGGCGCACCGCAACCUCCGCCUCCCGGGUUCAAGCAAUUCUCUUGCCUCAGCCUUCCGAGUAGCUGGGAUUACAGGCAUGCGCCACCACGUCUGGCUAAUUUUGUAUUUUUUUUUAGUAGGGACGGGGUUUCUCCACAUUGGUCAGACUGGUCUUGAACUCCAGACCUCAAGUGAUCCACCCGCCUUGGCCUCCCAAAGUACUGGGAUCUGUUCUGCCUUUUCACCUUCCACCAUGACAGCUCUUUCUCUGUCUUCUGCAGACUCAUCUUCUACGCGUCAUUCAAAUAUUGGUGGUCUACAGCAGCGGUCCCCAAACUUCUUGGUACCAGGGCCAGUUUUGUGGAAGACAAUUUUCCUAAAUACCAGAAAGAGGAAAAGCUGGGGUUUGGUUUCAGGAUGAAACUUCCACCUCAGAUCAUCAGGUUAGAUUCUCCUAAGUAGAGCGCACGUUGGAUCCCUCGCAUGCGCAGUUCACAAUAGGUUCACGCUCCUGUGAUAAUCUGCUCCCUCGCCUGCCCACCCACCCGCCAGUACCCCUGGUCUAGAGGAUCUUUGGCUCAGGACCUUUCUCCAUAAAUUUCCAAGUGAUAUGACCAGUGGGCACCAAAGACUACCUGUGUGCAUUAGUGGCUUCCAAAUCCUCUCGUCUAGACCAUGCUUAUCUUGGUUUAAUACUACACAGCAGGGAUUUUCUCUGAGACAGUGCAGAUAUGGCCACUCUUUCCAACAAGUGAAAGUGGACACAACUGUGGGUAAAAAGUGAG